rnacentral:rRNA from 1 species
UACAGAGGUCUCAAGCGUUGUUCGGAUUCAUUGGGCGUAAAGGGUGCGUAGGCGGCGCGGUAAGUCGGGUGUGAAAUCUUGGAGCUUAACUCCGAAACUGCAUUCGAUACUGCCGUGCUUGAGGACUGGAGAGGAGAGUGGAAUUCCUGGUGUAGCGGUGGAAUGCGCAGAUAUCAGGAAGAACACCCGUGGCGAAGGCGGCUCUCUGGACAGUUCCUGACGCUGAGGCACGAAGGUCAGGGGAGCAAACGGG